AUACGGAGGGUGCAAGCGUUACUCGGAAUCACUGGGCGUAAAGCGCGCGCAGGCGGGCUGAUAAGUGGGAUGUGAAAGCCUACGGCUCAACCGUAGAACUGCAUCCAAAACUGUCAGUCUAGAGUGUGGGAGAGGAAGAUGGAAUUAGUUGUGUAGGGGUAAAAUCCGUAGAGAUAACUAGGAAUACCAAAAGCGAAGGCAAUCUUCUGGAACACUACUGACGCUGAGGCGCGAAGGCGUGGGGAGCAAACAGGAUUAGAAACCCCAGUAGUCC
rnacentral:rRNA from 1 species